rnacentral:SRP_RNA from 1 species
GCUGGGCAUGGUGGUGCAUGCCUAUAGUCCUAGCUACUCAGGAGGCUGAGGCAGGAGAAUCACUUGAGCCCAGGAGUUCAAGGCCUAGUAGUGAGCUAUGAUCACACCACUGCACUCCUGCCUGGGUAACAGAGCAAGACCCUGUCUCUU